AAUUUGAUAAAGUACGCGUAUUUAAAUAACAGCAAGCAACAGCUUACAGUCAGUUGUACAACAUUUUCCGCUUUAUUUUCGUCAGUAGAAUGAAGUUUACGUGUGCGAUCAUAUUGUUUGUAAUCGUGGGAUGUGUAAGAAUUUCAGAUGCAGCGAAAUGCGAACAUGGACCAAACUACUGGAAUGGUUGUAACUAUUGUAUGUGUAUUCCUAUGGUGGGAUAUGCAUGCACUAAGAUGACAUGUUUCGAUAAUAACACUUCACCAGCACCCCCAGAUGGCGAUUCAAAUACGAUAUUGGAGUAAUCAGGAAGAAGGAAUCACAUCAAACGUAGCUGUGUAGUUUCGGAAACAUUUUCUUUAAAUAAAUGUAAUGGGAGUAGACCAU